ACGGAGGAUCCGAGCGUUAUCCGGAUUUAUUGGGUUUAAAGGGUGCGUGGGUGGUUUAUUAAGUCAGCGGUGAAAGUUUGUGGCUCAACCAUAAAAUUGCCGUUGAAACUGGUUAACUUGAGUAUAUUUGAGGUAGGCGGAAUGCGUGGUGUAGCGGUGAAAUGCAUAGAUAUCACGCAGAACUCCAAUUGCGAAGGCAGCUUACUAAACUAUAACUGACACUGAAGCACGAAAGCGUGGGGAUCAAACAG
rnacentral:rRNA from 1 species